rnacentral:misc_RNA from 1 species
GCUUCCGCGUAGCAGGUGGCUUGUCGGUCGUUGUUGGUUUUAGGUGUUUCUGUUGGGCUCCUCCUCCCUCUCCCUUUCAUUCUUAACAUCCUGAAAUCGUAGUGGUGCUCGUGACCUUGCAUGUCCGCCUUGUCUCGUUUCGGGUGCGUACCUACGCGGUGAAUAUAUUUUCUCUCCGCCACGCCUUCCUCGUCCCCGCACCCCUCCGCCUUUUUAUUUUUUUUUCCUGCGUUGUGGGUGAGCAGCAUCCCACACAGCGAAAGCACAGCACACAAAGAGAUCAGUACCUCUAAACGAAGAGACCGAAGAACCACCCUUGGCGUUACUGCCAAGGAACACUUGAAAGGAGCAGCCGUGUAACGUGAAACGGACACGACACGGAGUCAAAAAAGAGGAAGAAUACCCUCCCCCGCUCCUCCGCCCGAGAAAGAGAAGGUGUCAGGCAUUUUGUACCCCCCUGCCUGCGGCCCUUUCCGCCUGCCGUUGUCUCCCAGUUCACAUACCCCCCCCCCACACACACACCACCACCACAGUUGCCGCGUGGUCUAUACCGAACGUCAAGACCCUCUCCACUUCCCGACACACAAACGCGCAGGCAUAACGGGGAUAGGGAAAAGGCAGCGAGGGGAGGCCACGAAUCUACCAAUUUGCUUUCAUAUACGAGGAAGUUCGGCAAAGGUGUUCUCGUGCAGCAGUGACGACAGCAACGUCUUCGCAGAAAAAAAAAAGAAGCUGCAGACGUCCGCGCACACUGAGCCGCCAAGCAGACAAAAAAAAAGAACAGAGAGGUUUGAUCGGCGUUAGUCGUUGCGGCUCCCCACCGUUUUCCCAGCCCCCGUUGACGCUCACACACGGCAAAAAAAAAAAACAGCGGGAGCGGCGGCGCAGUGGAGAAAAACGAUUCAAAGCGCACGCCCACGCGCGUAGAAGAGGAGUGGGACCAGGCCACCGAGUUGGCGUACGCAAGUGCGCGCCAGCGGCGGAGGAACGACAAGAAAGAAGAGGCCGAUCUGGAGUCUUGAUAAACGUAGGGGACCGAAUAGCGUACAGCGCAGCGUGUGCAACACGGCAAUAAAGGAGGAAUCUCGUGCACACACACACAUAUAUAUAUAUAUAUAUAUGCAACGACGGUUCAAAAAAGGGGAUUCGAAAAGUUGUCCUGAGCAGCGAAAGGUCAAAGAGGCCUGCCUCUUUUUUUGCCUGUGCCUUUGUGUGUGUGUGUAGGGGGUCUGUGCGUUUCUAGGUUUUUACUUGUCGCUGGCUUCUUGCUUCUGCUGUCUCCCUCACUCGCCCUCCGUUUCCGCUGCUUUCUCUUUGUGCUUGUUUUCCUUAGCCCUUUGACGAUCAGCUCUCACUUCACAUCGGUUAGGUUUUUCCUUUUGCCUUUCCUUUCGUGGCCGAGACUCUCUUGUUAUUAUUACCCAUUUAAAUGGACUAGUGCGUGUCAUACUGAUUCUCUUCCUCCCUCUUCGAUACCAGCAUCUCGUGUUCCCCUCCUCCCCCUCUGUCUUCGACGGCUGCCUCUCUAUUUUUUUUUGUUUUUGUUCAGUACUACAAAUCGAAUUCCCCUGCUGCUCAACGGACUUUAUAUGGUCACUGUGGACUCUCCUUCUUUUUGUGUGCUUGUAUGUGCUUGUUGUUGUGGCUUCCCUUUUUCUACUCUUAAGUUUUUUUUUGUAUUGUAUGUCGAAGCGCAGCCGCGGGCUGAAGAACAGGGGAAGACUUUGUGGCGGUAUCGAGAAACGUGCCGCUUUCUAAUUGCACCCUUUCUCUCUCUCUCCCCUCAGGUCGUCGCGGGUGGUUGAACUCCUUACCUGCUGUACUGGUGUGGGCUCUCGUGCUGUGGCCUCUUAUCAGCUUUGCUGGUUAGUUCUAACCUGUGAAGUGGCCGCAGCCGGCCAAUUUGCCGCAAGAAGUUGUGUCUUCCUCAAUCGCCGAUCUUGCGAUCUUAUUGAUUUUUUUCGCUGGUUGUUUUUCUUUCUCCUGCGCGUUGUUUCCGGGUCAUCAUCUGUGAACUUUAUUUCCUCUGGCGCCCCUAGCCCCCACAAGCGAUUCCGUUUCUUGCGCUCUCUCUCUAACCUACGAUUUCUCUUUGCGUGUGUGCCUUUGUCUUUCCUUUUCUGGUGAGCUCCUCACUCGUGAAUCCGCACUUGCUUUCUGUUAUCUCUGCGCUCUUUGACUCUUACGAGCCUCGGUGUAUCAAGAGCGGUGGUCCAUUCAUCUCAUACUCUGCUAUGAGGAGGAGGGGGUGGUUACCGCACUAGAGGACAACGAACAAAGAAGUGGGAACAUCCCAGCAAGACCAACGAGAAUUUCGGCGUGUGUCGAGGUUUUGUUCGUUUUUCAUUUUUGUUGUGCGUGCGCUUUCGGCUUGGUAUUGUCGCUCAAAUACCACUCCCCUUUUUUGUUUCUUCUUUGCGAGUGUGUAUGUGUGCUCUCUCUUUGAGGCUCACUUCCCCUCUGCUUGGUUUUCUCCUCCACGCAGCAUCAUGAUGCAAUCGCCACCUCCUUACGUACCUUUUGUCGAGUACGUCCUCAAGGCAAUCGAGCAUCCGCCGUACAUGUACGUGGCGAAGCUUGCUGCGUGCUGUACGAUGCUCUUCCUUACACGUGAAAACCCCGAGCUGCUACAGGAGUUGUGCCACAAGUGGGCGAUUCGCUUUGCACAGGACCGAUUCCGUCUCAUUCGGCAUAUUCGAAAGCGUGCUUCCUACUGCAUGAAUUCCCUCGAUCUCGCCUUACACGUCGGGCGCGACGCGAAAGACUCUAGCGAGGACACUUCUGAUGACGGAUGUGCGGCGCAGUCAUCUGAUGAUCACUCUGACAAGCGUGAUGUGGCGGCCGGAAUGUCCUGCUGCGACCCGGACAAGUCGGUUGAGCACCUGCUGUCCAUUCUCAACACGCUCGUACCCAUGUACUUCUCGUGGAACUGGCACCGAGCCGACUACGUGAUUCAGAUCAACAAGGAGUACGAGGUGUACGUGCGGGAGUACGUGUUGCCUAUGUGCGCCGACCUUGCCCCUAAUGAAGGUGCCGAUGACGUGGUGCACACGCCUUGGCUGCUCCCCCCGCACACGUACCUCGAACCGACGGAGAGAUUGCUGUCGGUGGACACAUUUACCUCAACAGCGGCACCGCGCCCUUGCGUAGACUCGCCGCGUCGUCCGAGCUACAUCGCCAGCACCCUCGUGGGCGGGACAGCGCCCAACAAGCACGGCAUCGUCUCUGCCAGUGGAACGCCAACGGCUGGCAAUGCGAAAAUGGAUGGGCUCAAUUUUCCGAGUCUGCAGCAGCACUUCACCUCCACGUCGGUUAGCAAGGGAAAGCCGUCCGACGCCAUUGUGGCCACUCCCCUGCCAAAGCUCUCGCCCACAUUCGGCGAAACGUUAGGCAACGACGCAGCGUCCACCUCGUCCCCAAACAUGAUGCGGGUCAGUGCAGAUGCCUGCAACACGGCAACAAGGAGUGGCUUUACCCAUAUUAUGUCGCCCAACGUCAUGUCCGCCCGCGCCUUUAACGCCGCGGCCGUGUACGGGUUGCGCUUUUUGACGCUCAGCAACUACCGCAAAGCACUGCAGAGCAACACCAAGGGUCUUGUGAUCGUCUUCCAUGCCAAGUAUUCGGCCAAGAGCAACGAAGUGAUCGAUAUGUUCCAGAAGAUCACAGCGAAGCGGCUGCUUGAUCCGAUGCCGACCAUAGCCGUUGUCUAUGCCGUAGCAGAGCCAGAGUUGUCAAGCCUGUACAAGGUCAGCUGGUUCCCAACCAUCGUGUACAUUCCUCCCAUUCUGCACCGAAAACACUGCCACCAGCAUCCAAACCCCGGUGCGUACACUCGCACUGACGACGCAGCACCCUUGCCAACGUUGUCGGCACCAAAGGCCCUGGCCAAGGCCUCAGCGCACUCCGCACAGGGGCCAUUGGCGAAGUUUCGCUGCGGCCAUUCUCCCGUUGUUGAUGCAGGGUCCCCGGCCCUGCCUCACAACGAAGAGGAGGCUUCGCGGCGCACAAACGGUCGCAGCGGCACUGCAUCACAAGGGACGACUGCCAUUUCAGGCACUGACGACGUUGCGAGAUCGCCGCGAAACACUAGUAUGGGUCCGCGCCGCAGCACACCGACACGGAGCCAAGGUAAAGCGUACAAGAUCGUCAGCGACCUCGACGCCGCGUCAGGGAGACACACGAGCGCGUCGCCGAGCAGUCGGUCAGAUGCACCCUCACUGGUUGUGCAAUGGACUGACAAACGGACCACAGCUUCACCGCCGACGCCGACGGAGAUCCUCUUCAGUACCCCCGUGGGGGAAAGCGCUCGAAACGAAUUCGUGACCACACCACCGCAGUUCAGCAGCAGAAGCAGCACCGGAGCAAAUUCCAGCAUCCAAGGCGGCAGCGUGGAGGAUGGGGUGCAGCCGCUGGGAGAGGACAGCGGAGGGGCGGAGCGUGACUCUCUCGAGGGCAUCCUGGACAGCGGCGACUACGUCAUCUACCCCUUAGAUGGCGUGCAGACGGUUCCUGCGCUUGUAGAAUGGAUCAGCUCUCGCGGGGCAAGUGUCCCACGCCUGCGGAAGAUGAAGGAGUUCUUUACGUGCAUCAAAACAAUUCGUCAAGAGGAGAAGUUCAAGCGUUACCGCGAGCUACACUCGGCAGUGGUGACGCUUCGCCGCUUGCAAGGCAUCAAGGAAGACUUGAGUGUGACCGUCAGCGGCGGAAACCGUAGCACACACACACACACCUCGUCGACACCAUUUCAUCAGCAGCUGCCCGAUCAGCCUCUCUUCAUUUUUCUCGGCGGAGGUAUGGCCGCAGGCAAGACGACAGCCGUCGCGGCUCUCGCCAAGAGCAGCUGGUGGGAAAGCCACAAAGAGCAGAGUGUUGUCGUGAAUGCCGAUGAGUUCAAGCUGCCGCUAGAAUGCGAGAUGUCGUUAUCAGAGGCGCACACGCACAGCACCCGUGCCGCCGAGAACCUCCUUGUGAAGGCGAUCAACCAAGGCCGCAGCAUCGUACUCGACGGCACCAUGAUGUGGAAGCCGUUUGUGCAGCAGGUUGUCGCCAUGGUGCGCGAUGCCCACCUCACACUCUUCAAACAAGGUCCAGGCUACAACAAGAAGACGCAGAUAGAGCAGUACUUCGUGGCCGAGAAGGCUCGCCAACCCGCCUUGCCAAUGCCGUACAAAAUCAUGUUUCUUGGUAUCACCGUAGAGGUAGAGACUGCCGUUCCACGCGGAUUUCUGCGCAAGUUUCAAACCAACCGCGGUGUGCCCAUCUCAAUGCAGCUGCGCUCCUUCAAGCUCUUCGCGGAGAACUUUACAGAUUACGUUCGCAUGGUGGACGAGACAACCCUCUUCAACAACAAUAUCUUUGUGAAGCUUGAAAAGGGUGAGUUGCCCCCGGUGCUUGCUGAAUGCAGCAACACAACAAACGGCCAGUUGGUCGUGCACGAUGACGCAGCGUUUCAGCAGUUUUUGCGGCAGCAGCAGAUCAACGACGACGCAGAUAACGUGCUCGAAUUGUACCCUUCGACUCCGGUAGCUCACUGAAAGGCGCGCCCGAUUGGCGGCAUGAAGGCAGGGGAACCAGACGCUUUCUUUUUUUUUUCCUUUUUGACUGGACUGCUCACCUAUUCUGCGAACCGCUUUUCAAACUUUUUCCACGCUGGUCAAG